UACGUAGGGGGGCAAGCGUUGUCCGGAAUCAUUGGGCGUAAAGAGCGCGUAGGCGGCCCUGUAAGUCCGCUGUGAAAGUCAAGGGCUCAACCCUUGAAUGCCGGUGGAUACUGCAGGGCUAGAGUCCGGAAGAGGCGAGUGGAAUUCCUGGUGUAGCGGUGAAAUGCGCAGAUAUCGGGAGGAACACCAGUGGCGAAGGCGGGCAUCUGGCCAACACUGACGCUGAGGCGCGGAAAGCUAGGGGAGCAAACAGG
rnacentral:rRNA from 1 species